rnacentral:rRNA from 1 species
CGCCUUGCCAGCCCGACUCAGAAACUUAAAGGAAGUUGACGGGGCCCGGCACAAGCGGCGGAGCAUGUGGAUAAUUCGAUGCAACGCGAAGAACCUUACCUGGGUUUGACAUACACCGGAAACCGUAGAGACCUAGGUCCCCCUUGUGGUCGGUGUACAGGUGGUGCAUGGCUGUCGUCAGCUCGUGUCGUGAGAUGUUGGGUUAAGUCCCGCAACGAGCGCAACCCUUGUCUUAUGUUGCCAGCACGUGAUGGUGGGGACUCGUAAGAGACUGCCGGGGUCAACUCGGAGGAAGGUGGGGACGACGUCAAGUCAUCAUGCCCCUUAUGUCCAGGGCUUCACACAUGCUACAAUGGCCAGUACAGAGGGCUGCGAGACCGUGAGGUGGAGCGAAUCCCUUAAAGCUGGUCUCAGUUCGGAUCGGGGUCUGCAACUCGACCCCGUGAAGUCGGAGUCGCUAGUAAUCGCAGAUCAGCAACGCUGCGGUGAAUACGUUCCCGGGCCUU